GAUAUUCGGGUAGACCAGCCCCGCUGAGCUUUCAGCCUACAGCCAGGAUCAAUGACCAAGUUUUGAGUGAGCCAUCUUGUCUAUUCCAGCCCAUUUGAAUCCUCAGGUGACUGCAGUCCUAGCCAACAUCAUGUGGAGCAGUAGAACUGAUCAGAAAGGUGGAUGGAGUUUUGAAACAGAUGCACAUAGGAGAAGGUGAUGUAAAGAUGGUGGCAAAGACAAAGUGCUGUGGUUACAAACUAAGGAAUGCCAAGGAUUUCUGAUACACACCAGAAGCUGAAAGAGACUCACGUCACUGAAAAGGUCACUUACUCUAUCACAAAACAGAAAUUAUUUGUGAUGAUUUUAACCCUCAUGUAAAGAACACUGUAUUUAUUGCUGUCCCUGAUCUUCAAAGAUAAGGUUGAUAAUGAUGAUUACCAUCUCCUUGUUUCUGAAGAAAAAAGACCUAGAAGAGAACAAUAGCUCUUUCCAUGAAUAAGCAUAAAUUUUUAUUAUAGCAAUAAAAAAGUAACUAUUUAACUGACAUAAUGUGAAUCUGCUACAAUUUUCAAAAGGUUUUAUUCUCAGUUUAUGCCACAUUCUAGUCUUUAAUUUUAAAUUUUAAAUUGAGUAAGUCUGCAAUUCACGAUACCUAAGAUUUAUCUACCUAACCUGAAUAUUAUAUAAUUUAAUUUAACAUUAUAUGCCAACAUCUCAGUGAGUAAAAAACUCAGAAGAAAACAUCCACAAAUCUUCACCACUUCAUCCCUCAGAUACUUGAAUCUGUUCCCACCUACUCUUUCUUCCUACUGGUUAAAAUGGAUGAACUCUUUGUUCAUCCCUUGCUCUUAGCAAAUGCCAGCUCCUCCAUUUGCUUUCUAAUCUCAUCUACUCUCUCCAACACAAGAACACUGCUUCCACAAUACUCACUUCUCUCUCCUACAUCAUCCGUUUUCUCCCCCAUCUGAAUUGUUCCAUCAACAUAUAAAAAUGUUGUUCUUCUAUCUAAAGAAAAGGCCUCUCGCCAUCAUUACUCAUUUCCUCCUUCAGUAAACACUCCAUAUACUUCUUUCCCUUUAGAGGAAAACUCCUCAGAGGAUUGUCUCUGCAAAUUCUGUCUUAAAUCCACUCUGUUCAAGAUUUUCUCCCAUUACCCGCUGAAGCUGUUGCUGUUGAUAACCUUCAUUCCGGUCAAUUCAAUGGCCACUUCUCAGUUCUUGUAUUACUUGAUCCCUCAGCAGCUUUCCACACAACUGGUCACACUCACUCUGCUGGUAAACAUUUUCUUUGCUUCCAGGUCACUACAAUCCCAGUUAUCUUCCUUCUUUUUGGCCCUACUUUUUAUUCUACUCUGAAGUUUCCUCUUCAUCUCUCCAACAACUGCUGAAUGUUGAAAUACCCAAGGCUCAAUCCUUGUAUAUCUUUUGUGUCCUCACUAAUUCCCUUUCAUCCAGUCUCUAUUAUAACUCAUGUUUCCCAGUAUGGCCUGAACUUCUCCCUUAUGCCCUCAGGUCCAACUACACAACAUAUCUCCACACGGAUGUCUAAGAGACAUUUCAGUUUACCAUAUUCAAAACUGACCUCCUCAUCUCUAUCCUCUCUGCAAACCUGCUCUUCCCAUGUCUGUUAAGGGCAACUCCAUAACUUGUAGUAGUUCAGAGAAAAUGCUUUACAAAGUUUUCUCCCACAAUUCACGUUGAAACCACAGCAAAUACCAUUAGCUCUACCUUCCAGAUACAUCUAGAAUCAACUACUUCCCACUAUUUCCCCCAUUAGUCACUAUUCCAAGGCCCCUGAAUUAUUGCCACUAGCCUCCUCUGGUUUCUCUGCUUCCACCCUUUCUCCCCUUUAGGUUCUUCUCAACACUGAUAAAAUAUGUCAGAUCAUGCACAAUUCUCAAAAUCCUCCAGUAGCCCUUUAUCUCACUUAGAGACAAGUCUAAGUAAUUGCAACAGCUACAAGUUCCUAUGAAGUUUGGCUCCCUGUGCUUUUGUGAUCUUAUCUUCUACAAUCCCAUGUAUUUACUGUGCUCUAGUCACACUGGCCCCCUUUAUGUGGCUUGAAUUUGCUAGGCAUUCUCCCACUUCAGGGCCUUCAUAAUUGCUAUUUUCUUUCCUGGAAUCCUCAUUUGCUACGUAACCCCAUGGCAAGUUUCCUUCAGCUCCUCCCAGUUUUAACUCAUAUAUUAUCUUCUCAGAGUGUUCUUCCCUGAGCAUCCUAUUUAAAAUUGCAAUAGUCCCCCGGAACACCCUCUGUCCCCUUCCCUUGGUUUAUUUCUCUUUAGCAUCAUUAUAAUUUAACAUACUGCAUAAUUUACUUAGUUUAGUUUCAUUUCUGUCUCCCACACUUCACUUUGCAAGUUCCAAGAGGGCGAGUUUUUCAGUGUUAUUUACUCCUAUCGACUUGAUGCCCAGAGAGUUGUUUCAAAUAUUACAGGGAUUCAAUAAAUAUUUGUGAAAUGAUUAUAUAAGUAAGGAGUAGAGUCCAUGGCGAUUAAAAGCACAGAUUUCAGUGUUAGGAAGACCUGGAUAUGAAUUCCUGCUCUGCCUCUUACUAAGUAACUUACCUUGAACAAGUAAUUUUUCUUAGCCCCAGUUUACUCAUUAUAAAAUGGAUAUAAUGAUACUUAGCACUCAAAAUUAUUUUUAUAAGCUGGAAAGGAAAUAAUAAAAUUUAAGCAAAAAAAAAGAGAAAACAUCACUUUUGCAGUGAUUCAUUAUCACUAUCAAUAAUGAGUAAUAAAAUGAGAUUGUCCAAAUAUAUAUGAUAAAUUGUAAUUGCUUUAAUUGGCCACUAAGUUAAUUAUUUUAAUCAUUUCAAAUUUACUCAAAAAUUAUUUUUUACUUUAUAGUGCCAUUUGAUACUCAUUAAAAGAUGAUUAAGAAAAUUACAGUACAUUUCUCACAAGUUUUGAAUUAUAAAAUGUAGUUUUAUAAAUAAAAUAGUUUUUUAGAUAUACUUUCCAUAAAGAGUUGCAUGUUCAAUUUUAAAAUGUAAUUAUAGUAUUCAACAAAGACAUUUUAAAAUAAUAAAUUUAGAUGUUAAUCAUUUUGGUUAGCUCCAAACUUACAAUGAGCUUUAUUUUAUUUA